UACAGAGGGUGCGAGCGUUAAUCGGAAUUACUGGGCGUAAAGGGCGCGUAGGCGGUUUAUUAAGUUGGAUGUGAAAUCCCUGGGCUUAACCUAGGAACUGCAUACAAUACUGGUAGAUUAGAGUGCUGUAGAGGGUAGUGGAAUUUCCGGUGUAGCGGUGAAAUGCGUAGAUAUUGGAAGGAACACCAGUGGCGAAGGCGGCUACCUGGACAGACACUGACGCUGAGGCGCGAGAGCGUGGGGAGCAAACAGG
rnacentral:rRNA from 1 species